rnacentral:rRNA from 1 species
GACGAACGCUGGCGGCGUGCUUAACACAUGCAAGUCGAACGGUGAAGGGACUGGUUUUGCUGGUCCUGGAUGAGUGGCGAACGGGUGAGUAACACGUGAGUAACCUGCCCCCUUCUUCUGGAUAACCGCAUGAAAGUGUGGCUAAUACGGGAUAUUCUGGGUCUGUCGCAUGGUGGGCCUGGGAAAGAUUGCGCCUUUUUUGGUGUUUUUGGUGGGGGAUGGGCUCGCGGCCUAUCAGCUUGUUGGUGGGGUGAUGGCCUACCAAGGCGGUGACGGGUAGCCGGCCUGAGAGGGUGGACGGUCACACUGGGACUGAGACACGGCCCAGACUCCUACGGGAGGCAGCAGUGGGGAAUAUUGCACAAUGGGCGCAAGCCUGAUGCAGCGACGCCGCGUGAGGGAUGGAGGCCUUCGCGUUGUGAACCUCUUUCGCCAGUGAAGCAGGCCUGCCUCUUUUUGUGAGUGGGUUGACGGUAGCUGGAUAAGAAGCGCCGGCUAACUACGUG